rnacentral:lncRNA from 1 species
CAUUUUAAGGAUAUAAUAAUUUAGAAGAUUUAAUCAAUUGAGAGAAGAGAGAAAAGAAGAAAAGAUCAAUCAAUAGACUAUAAUUCUUUUACUGACUUUAUCAAGUCACUGAAUCGGGUUAGGUCAUGCUGAUUGAAUUGGCACCUAGAUCAGUCGCACUGAUCAACCUUAAUGGCAUGGGCUAACUCAAAUCACUAAGCGAUCUAAUCAAAAUCUAGUUUACUAAAUUGGCC